rnacentral:rRNA from 1 species
GAUGAACGCUGGCGGCGUGCCUAAUACAUGCAAGUCGAGCGAACAGACGAGGAGCUUGCUCCUCUGACGUUAGCGGCGGACGGGUGAGUAACACGUGGAUAACCUACCUAUAAGACUGGGAUAACUUCGGGAAACCGGAGCUAAUACCGGAUAAUAUAUUGAACCGCAUGGUUCAAUAGUGAAAGACGGUUUUGCUGUCACUUAUAGAUGGAUCCGCGCCGCAUUAGCUAGUUGGUAAGGUAACGGCUUACCAAGUCGACGAUGCGUAGCCGACCUGAGAGGGGGAUCGGCAACACUGGAACUGAGAAACGGUCCAAACUCCUACGGGAGGCAGCAGUAGGGAAUCUUCCGCAAUGGGCGAAAGCCUGACGGAGCAACGCCGCGUGAGUGAUGAAGGGCUUCGGAUCGUAAAACUCUGUUAUUAGGGAAGAACAAAUGUGUAAGUAACUAUGCACGUCUUGACGGUACCUAAGCAGAAAGCCACGGCUAACUACGU